AAAUCUAAAAUUUUGUUAAAUGAACUAAACUCAGUAACACAUUUAUGUUCUUAGAGUGAAACAUCGUGGGGCGAACCAUCUUAGCGCGAAACAGAAUGGGCGCGAAACAUCGUGGGGCGAACCAUGCACAGGUGCGAAACAUCCCGCUACCUUGUGACAGCAUCACCUUUGUUUGGCUAAAGUACAAGAGAACUGCAGCAUCUAAGACUACAUGUACAUCGACUUUGAAUAAUCUACCCGGUAUAUCCUCAAAAAGGCAACUCAAAUACAGAAAGUGCAUAUAAUUUGGAAAAGAGACCAUCAAUCCACUGGGGGGUAUCGCAUGAAAGCAAUGAUUAUAGAAUAUUGUAAGGCUGGAGGAGUUAUAGUACAACAGG